AACACGCGGCAGGAAACCCUUCCGCAUUGUGGGUUAGUGCUAACAUCUCGAGGACUCACAGGUGCAUCUUCUAUAAGGGAAAGGCUUGGGAUUUUUCAGAAUCAUCCAAAUCCCUUGGAAACUUAGGCCUCUACCCAUUUGCUGAGAAGAAAACUGAAAGCUAGCAGGACGUGGAAGCCUCUAAUGCCAUCGUUAACUUAAUGACUGCUACCUGUCUGUGAGUUUUAAAAAGGCGGCAUAGCAAAUGAAUGUGGUUAACAUUCAGCAACAAAUUCAAACGGACAUCUAUGAAGAGGCAGAGUCUCCCUCUGUUGUCCAGGCUGGAGUGGAGCAGCAUGAUCAUAGCUCACUGCAGCUUGAAUCUUUUGGGCUCAAGCAAUCCCCCUGCCUCAGCCUCCUAAUUUUCUAGGACUACAGACAUGUAUCACCACACUUGGCUAAUUUUUAAAAAUAUCUGUAAAGGUAGAAUCUCUGUUUCCCAGGCUAGUCUUGAACUCUUGGACCCAAGCAAUCCUCCCAUCUCAGCCUCCCAAAGCACUUAUAUUACAGGCAUACACCACUGCUUCUGGCUCAAUUGAGAUCUUUUUUAGGGUCUGUGCUGGGGGAGCUUAUCUCCUAUAGCAAGUGGAAAGAGCUUCUAUAAGCUUACAGGAUUCAGGAAAAUCUGGGGUUCAAGUUUCAUAUGCACAUCCUUGAACUGUCCAAUUUCUUGGCUUAGUUUAUCUUCUUAUAUGAGUCCUAACUUAGACAUGGGAGACAGGUAGAGGCUGUGCAUUCUGGCACCUUUAUAUCUGCUGUUACUCUUACCACUGGACCCUGGGCUUGAUUUUUAGUACACUACGCCUUGCAGCUACUGAAAUAAGAAUCUUCUUAAGUUGUAUCCUAGAGUCUUGAACUCAUGUUUGGUUGACCCAAGUCUGUCAUUUUCUUUACAAGGCUUCCAAAGCGGUUAACAAAAUUGAGUCCACUCCACAAACUUUAUUGUCACCACUGCCUUUGUGUCAUUCAAAUGUCCUCGCUGUUACCUACUCCAGUGCUUCUGCCUGCAUCCAUACCUCAUUCCAAUAACCCAUACACAAAUACCUUUGCAACUGUCAUUGUGCUAUAUGCUGGGGGUUACCAGCCCUCCACUUACACCAGCAAUGGGGUCCUGUUGCCAGCUGGGUGGUGAUAUGCGUAGGUCAAAAAUCCUAUCCUGAGGGUUUGUGUUUAAAACCACUCCUUUCUAGGAGAGCCUUAGCCUGAUCUCCAUAGAAAGUAGAAUCAGAAACAAAAGACGACGUGCCAAUGUUUUAUUUGGGAUUUUGAUCACAUUGUGCAUGAGUGAGGGACAGCAGGAAAGGAGGAAGAGUUGAUGGAAGAUUCCGGGAAGGUUGACUAUAUCCUCGACAUGUCAAGAAUCGUGUGAGGUGCAUCUCAGGGCAGUCUGCCUGAAGAAUGAGCCUGGGAAGCACUGGUCCAUUGGUUCCCAUCCUCUCGCCUUGUCAUGGAGUUCUCCAGAAUUAUGUCAGGUCUUCCGGAGUCCUGGAUACUGAAUGCAUGAAUAGGAAGCAUUGACUGUCCCCACCCCAUUCACUGAAUCAGAGAAGCCCUAGGGCCAGAAGCCAGAGAUGUGACAUAUACCCCAGGUGGGGCCUGGGGUGCUGCCAGCCCAUGUGGCAACCUGGCCACAUGGUGGAAACCUGUGCCAUAGCUUCAUGUGGAACAACAUGUGAGGGAAAGGGCCUUGAAAUGGGACACAAGAGGUGUCCCAGGCAGUAAGACAU
rnacentral:lncRNA from 1 species